rnacentral:rRNA from 1 species
UACGGAGGGUGCAAGCGUUACUCGGAAUUACUGGGCGUAAAGCGCGUGUAGGUGGUUUCGUAAGUCUGGUGUGAAAUCCCGGGGCUCAACCCCGGAAGUGCAUUGGAUACUGCGAGACUAGAGUGCAGGAGAGGAUGGCGGAGUUCCAGGUGUAGAGGUGAAAUUCGUAGAUAUCUGGAGGAACAUCGGAGGCGAAGGCGGCCAUCUGGACUGCAACUGACACUGAGACGCGAAAGCGUGGGGAGCAAACAGG